AAAACUUGAAAUCUUUGAUUGGCUACAUUGAAGAAUAUCAGAACAUCUCUGGGCAGAAGAUAAACAAGAGCAAAUGCAGGUUUUAUUGUAGCGAGAUGACUGCAGCUAGGAAGGCAAGGAUAGCAGCAAUUCUGGGCAUUACAGAGGGACAAAUGCCUGAAAAAUAUUUGGGUGUUCCUUGGGCUCAAGGUCAAGUCAGUAGGGUUACACUAGCUCCCAUGGUAGAAAGGAUUAGAGACAAAGCAGCUACUUGGUGUGGAAGAACUCUGUCAUUGCAGAGCAGAUGUCUUCUUAUCAAGCAUAUACUCACAAGUAUCCCAAUACAUAAUAUGGCAGUUCUCAAAUGGCCAAAGAAUGUUACAAAAACAUUAAACAUUUACUAGCUGCAGAGUGAAGCACAUCUUCAGAGAGGCCAACUCAGAUAAAAAAUGAUUUUUAUAUAAACUGGUAGGGGUCUGCCUUAACCCCAGCUUGCAUUUUGCAACAAAAAAAAUCCAGCUGACUAGAUAAAAUACUGAAUGUGAAGCAGACGCAUACAAAUGAUUCACGUUACCUAAUAGAAAGAUCACAGUCACCUUCUCGUUUGUCAAGUAGUCUCUGUUCAAGUCCUGCAGUGGAAGAAUACAACUUCAAUUAAUAUAAAGAUGAAGAUUUAGCGUAGACAGAAUUUGUGAUUUUGAAGUAAAAAUUGUGAGGGAGUAAUAUACAUGCCAAGUAAACCAUGUAUACUUGUCGUUAUUGAAAUGACAGGUUCUAGUGAUGGCACAAAUUUUAGCAUAACACAAACACAAGGUCAAUGGGGGAAUGAUGUCCAGUUACACAAUUUGUGCCAUCACUCAAACCUGUCAUGAAAAUGAAUGCAUGUAAAAUGGCUUGAUUGAUGUAAAACACAUGAUGUUGAGAAUAUAGUUCUGAUAUGUCUGUCUAGCUAGCUAUAGCCAGCUAGGUUCUAAUGAAAAAUCACAAUAUGUCUGUCUAGCUAGCUAUAGUCAGCAUGUGUGUAAAAGAAGCUAUAAAAAUAGUUCAUUUCAAGAAACUGUGAACUAUUUGCACCCUAAUUUUCUAUAACUCAUUCACUGAUAAAAAUCCCAACAAAUAAAUUUAUAACUGGUAAUUCGCUCAGAUGUUCCAGUGGGGCAGCAAAUACAAAACACAUGACUGAAACAAUAUGGCUUAGUAAUAUGCACAACCAAGUUCCUAAUAAAUCUGACAAUGCAAUUCAUCUUGUUGAAUGAGACAGAUUGUAGCCUAUAGGACUUCCAUUACUCCAGUAUUUACAGAAUAUGAUUUUGAAAACAACAGAAAGAACCCAUGAUGAAAUAUUCUUAAACAAUUCUCUGCUAAUCCAAAGUUUAUUCAAUGGACAGAAAAAAAACAGAAAGUAGUACUACAUGUGAUUCUGUAAUUCAAGGUGGUCAUAUGUUCACUACCCUAGUAUGUAUGUGCUAAAGGAAGAAACUAAAAGACUUAACAGUAGUACUGCAUUCUUCCCCAACUAAAUUAUGUAUGUGCUAAGUAUCGCCUAAUUAACUUUCAUCCACUUCACUUGAUUCAGUUGAUCCAAAGAAAACUCCCUUUAUACCACAAUUGAGAUUAAAGAAGAAAAGGGGAAUGAAUGAAAAGGCUCUUUACAAGCAAUUCAGCUCGAGAAUCACAACAAACAAACAAACAAAACUUUUUUCCCAAAACUAGAAAACAACCAACUAUUUUCUCACCAAACUCAAAUUCAAACAUAUUAACGAACAUCAUAUACAAAAGCUUCAACAAUAAGAGAAAAAGACCACUACAAAAUCUAACGAACCCGACAAAGUAGCCAUCGUCAUCAAAAAUAAAAUUCAAGGUUGGGCACACGCGUCAAACAUGUAACAACCUAAGAACUAGAAUUAUUCCAAUUUUGAUAAUGUUGAGAUUAAAUACAUGGAUCAACAGUAUGAUGGUGUUGGUGGUGAUACAUUCACACAAUUACAACAACACAAAAUGCUUAAAAGAUGCAGGGGUGGUGAGCCAGCAACACAUAACCACACAAACAAAAAAUCCAACAAAAAAAAAAUGUUAGAAUCAAAUUUAUUUAGUAACAAAGAAACACAGUAACUACUUUGAUUGAAACAAAUAUAUAUAUUCCCACAAAAGUAAAACUAAAUAAAAUAACAAACAACAACAUAUAACUAUUUCAUUAAACUUCUUCAAAAAAUUCAACAUACCCAUUUCAUGAUAUGAACUUUAAAACAAGAAUCAAACUUCAAAACAAAUUAUAAUUAAGCAAUAAAAUUUAUGCUUAUAUUAAAAAAAAAAAAAAAAGGACAUAGAUUGAUGGUUGGUGAACUAUGCUUACAGCAGAUGAAGACAGCAUAGUUGUCUAGCUUGUCGGUGAUGAAAUUGAGAAGAACAAAACCCCCAAACUAAAACCAGAUACUCUCUACUUCUCUUCUUAAAACAACCCUCAGUUUCAUUUUUGAAUUCCAGUAAACUAGAACUUUUUCCUCACCUACCUCUAGAUCAAACCAGAUAAUUAAACAACAGAUGAAGAUAAAAGAGUAAGGGUGAGAAUGCUUACCCAGCGAGAAGAAGACGAGAAGAAUCACAGCGAGGAGACCAAUCACAGCGGUGGUGGUGGUGGUGGUGGUGGUGGUGGGUAGUAGUGGUGGUGGAGGUGGUGGUGGAGGGAGAAGAGUUGAGAAAGAGAGAGAGAUGGAGUUUUGGUUGCGGUGGUGAGGGUGAGAAAGAGAGAUCGAGUUUUAGGUUGUGUUUUUUUUGCUGAAUUCUAAGUCAUUUUAGUAGUAAUGGAGAAGAUGAGAACAGAUGAAGAAGAUGAGAAGAAGAUGCUUACCCAGCGAGAAGAAGACGAGAAGAAUCACAGCAGUGGUGGUGGUGGUGGUGGUGGGUAGUAGUGGUGGUGGAGAAAGAGAGAUCGAGUUUUAGGUUGCGGUGGUGAGGGUGAGAAAGAGAGAUCGAGUUUUUUGCGGUGGUGAGGGUGAGAAAGAGAGAUCGAGUGAGGUUGCGGCCGCCAUUAGAGAGAGAGAGAGAUCGAGUUUUAGGUUUGUUUUUUUUUUUUUUUUUUAUGUUAUAUAGUGUGGCGAAAAAUGUUGGCGAAUUCGCGGUGAAUAAAAAAACACCUAUUCGGGUGGGCGAAAAAAUGGUCGAUUCGCCGAGUUUUUUUGGUGAAUGAGUGUAUUUUGACAAAAAAAUCCGGUGUAUAAAUAAUUUACUCCAAAUACGCCAAAUUCGCCGAGUCUUUAUCAAACAUCAAGAAUACCGGUGAAACGCGGCGAAUCACCCAUUCACCACGGCGAAUCGGUUAUCAAACAGGGCCUAA
rnacentral:lncRNA from 1 species